rnacentral:lncRNA from 1 species
UAAAGUAAAUGGAAAUAUUAUUCAUUUAACGUACCUGUCUAAUUGUUAUUUAGGGGAAUUUGACUGGUACAAAAUUGCUGUGUAUGCUCUAUGGCUCUGCAUUUGCCACACCUACGCGAUCGAGGAAACACUCUGGUAGAUAGUAUUCUAGAUGUAUUUGAACGUCCAGGACCACGCGGUUCAAUUGCUGAUGGCAACAAAUUAUGAAAUAGGAGAAUGUGCUCGGGAACUUCCCACUCAGCUUCAUUCGGCAGAGGAAAUAUAGUCUCAACAUAUAUUGUUCUCCAAGACUCAGUCGUAUAAUACAAAGAGCAUGACAUUCUCGCUGCAAAGCCUCGAUACAUGGCCACCGCAACUGCAUGCUCACAUGAAAACUCUCCAACUGAAAUCUCUCACAAGUGCAUGUCAUCUAGUGCUUCCACAUUCAACUUCCUCACAACCUCUGCCACCUUAAAGAGUUUAUCCUCUUGAGCUGGGGUCAAUACGCUAGUGCAACUCUGUGAUGCGCACGUCGGUCAUGAAACCAUUGUUGCAGCUUGUUAUAAAUGUUCUCAAUCAUUGUGAGAAUUAGUAACUCUCGAUCCUUCUUAAACAAUGCAUUGAGAGACGCCGCGUUAUUCGAUGUCAUCAUGUUGUAUCGACGUCUUGGAAAGUAUGACGACGCCUAAUGUUCGAUCCCCAUGUUCGUCAGAUACUCCAAUGCCGGUAAUGAUUUACUUCCUAUCUCGAACAUGAACUUAUUACGCUCUUCAGCACUGUAAGCUUCGGCUGCUCCCCUGAACAAUGAAACGAUACUUUUGCCCCAAUACCUAGUCUUCAAAUUACCUUGUAUAUGGUACAUGCAAUAUCCAUGAUGUGCCUUGGGAAAAACUUCAGUGAUACCGUUUAAUAUAGAUUGUCCCCGAUCGGUUACAAAUGGUAAGGGACUUCUCCGAUCA